GGAGAGAGAGGGAGAGAGAGGGAGAGAGAGAGAGAGACAGAGAGAGAGAGAUUGCCGAGGAUCGGAAGACGGGAGGCAAAUCUGGCACAACCCCUGGGGAAGAAACUCGACGCUCCGCCACCACUGAGACGCCUAAAGGAUCCUGUGUGUGCUGCCGCCGCUCUGGGACUGGAUCUUGUCUCUUCUGGUUGGAGCGCCUCGAUUCCUGGCCUGCUGGAUUUGGGGGGCUGCACUGCCUGGCGCUGGGAGAUCAAGUGAGUAUCUGGGCGGCCCGCACUGCCCGCCGCGCCCCGCGCUCUGCGCCUCGCCUCAGAGCCCACCGCGGGCCGCUCCGAGCGCCAGUCCGGGCUUUGCUACAGCUAAUUGAUUGUGUGCCUCGGAUGCCAAACCUGUUGAUCUCGGGAGUUGUCUGAGCCUGGACUAUUAAUUAUCCACCGGCCGGAUCCCCCAGUCGCAGAAAGAGGCCAGGAAAAUUUCGCUUUGGAGAAGGGAAUUUCGUAUAGGGUUUUGUGUUGUUGGUGGUGGGACUUUUCCUUCUUAAAUCUACGGCUAAAUACAGUGGUCUUUUGCGUCCCUGGUUUCCGGAUUCGCAUUUUGAAUAAUUCACCUCCUUUAACCUCUCAAAGUUGCAAUUUCGUCCCAAGGAAGCGAGGGUCUGAGUGGAUCCUGUUAGAAACUUCUGUAAGGGAUCUAAGUAGAGCUGGUGGGUCUCCGCUUCCCUUUUCUUUGCCUUUUGGAUUUGGAGAGGCGAGAGGCUGUUGUGCAGGGUUAUCCCAAGUUUAGCUUCGUCUACAGGCACCCUUCGCGGUGAGUUACUGGGACUUGGGCCGGGUCAGCUCCAGGAGCUGCUGGGGUCGGAGCAGAACCUGGGCUUAGCGGUCUGCUCGGAGCCCAGACCCGGCCGGGGAAGGCGAGACCUUUCGGUGGCCUGGACUUCACCGCGGGAGCCCAGGCCUUGGGGAACCCACGCGACGAUACAUUUGUGUUAGGGUCUGAGGCGUUUUCUCUUGCAAAUGUGCCCGCAGCGUCUGAAUGGGGACCGUCCGGCGGGGUCAGAGCCGCCGUGGACCUGGUCAGAAGUUAGACCGAAGGCCUGUCAAGUCACGGCCACGGCCGGGGCCCACAUGCACUCCGCCCUGUCUUGGUGCCCGCAGCUGCCUGCCAGGCCACCUUCCUCCUCCGCCUUGGCAGCAGUAAUUAGGGCGCUGUCUCGGGACGAGCUACCAUAGUCAGCAUAAUUGAACCCGUGCAGUACUUUCAUUUUGCAAAAGCAGUAGCCCCACCCCACCAGUCCAUAAUAACAAGAAGCAUAAAAAAUCAUAAAAGAAAAGCAACCUAUUUUCAGGAGUGUAAGACUUCCUGAAUAUUGGAUCGUGGAGGGAUGGGGGAAGGGAAUAAAAAAUCCACCACUUUACAGCAAUCAGGUUUUACAUUAUUCAUUGAUUUACUGGAGGAGCGAGCCAAUCAGGAGCCAUAGACAUGAAUGCACAUCUCACCGUGCUGUGGCCUUACAGUAAACUAUUUGCAUCUUUCUAAUGGAUUAGACAUUUAUCCAGGGAUUCCCAUUGUUUGAAAGGCCUGCAAAUCCAGUCUCUUAAACAUUUAGAAAAUAAGACUUUGUUCCUAAAAUCCUUACGUGGAAGGACUCUCACUCCUCUUUUGUAUGGCAGGUUACAAGGUUCAAACCCCUAAUGUUUCUUAAGUCCCUCUCCUUUGCAAGCUAAAAAUAAAAGAAAAGGAGAAAGAAAAAUUAAUUUUCCAAGCCUCUCCAGAUUCUGCAUAUUUUGCAUUUCUAUUAUUAUGCAUGUCUCCAUUUAAAUGCAAAUUAGCAUAUUUAACCCUGUGGGUGCUGGAGCUCAGGAAAUGCUCAACUGGGGUUUAGGGAGCCUCUUAGCAUUUUAAGGAUUCCUAGUAAUUGCAAUACUUUAAAUGAAGCCAUACCUAGAUAUGAUUUUGUGUAUAUAUGUAUAUAUAUAAACUGUGAUCAUUUGUUUUCUUGACUAUUUUUCAGAUGAGACUGCACAGAAGCAUAAAAUGAAUAGACUGUCCAUCCAACCAAAGGGAACAAUGAAGAUUGAUCAUCUUCCAUAUUAUCAGCUUCAUUAAUAGAAUGGAAGUAGCUUCAUUAAUAAUGGAAGGUGAUCUGCCAGUUCACAAUUGUUUUUAUGGACUUCCUUUUUCUCAGGUAAAGGGUACAAAUGUCAAGCUGUCAACCAAAAAUUUAGGGCCUCUAUAAAUAUUGUGCUGUAUUAUAAUUUUAAACUUCUUUUCAAAAUGCCUUUUUUCAUUUUAACCCACCAUUUUUUUCUAUAAAAUUUCUUUUGAGAUGAAGAAGGCAAUUUUGGGGGUUAAAGUACACUGUAUUUCCACUACAGUUUCCAGAUAAAGAGGUACGAGGAGAUGUAUGGUAGGUAGCAGAGCCUAGGCCACACAUGAUAUGCCUGUGUGCGUGCGUGCGUGUGUGCGUGCAUGUGUGUGUGCGUGUGUGCGUGCGCGUAUCUUCCAAGAUUACCCUUUCUGUGUACCACCUAAGCUCUCCCUGUUCACACUACUGUUGUAUGGAAGAAUCUUCUGUUUGCUUCUGUUAUAUUUCUUCAAGAAAAAGACUGUUGAAGUGCUUAUUGUCAAUUAAAUAGCAUGGUCAUUUGUUGAAGAAUUCAAACAUUCGAAUGUCAAAGAAAUUAUCCGAUUUGAAAAUUAGAAAAAGUAUUUAUCACAGACACAUCUACACACUCUCAUAAUGCAAUCUUUCUUUGUCUGUCUAGCUGUAUUUCCAAAACCUGUUCAAAAUGGGGACUUGACAGAAUGCCUCACUAAAAAUGAUGCCACAUAAUAUUCCAAUAUUAGCUGAAGAGAUGACCAGAGCAAAUAACUUCUGUCUUGAAACUAUGCUGAAAUUAGAUAAAAGUUUCUAUUUUUCACAAUGUAACUUGGUCAAAAGGAUUUUGGACUUAAAUUACAUAGUAGAAAAUAAAAUCAUUCUUUGGAAAUUUUCUCCAUGGUAAAAUUUUUAAUAUUUUUUUUGCUGUUGUUUACGAGUAUACAUUUUAAACAAAUAUUAAAUGGCAUUGUCACUGUUGGGAUUUCACACUUUUUGGUAAAAAUAUAUUUUAAGUAUUACCAAUACCAUAAUAAAAUAAUAAAGCCUUUCUAGAAAGUAAAAUGCUUUUAAGUUAUGAUUUUCAUUCAUUUCUAAUCUAGAAGGGGACUUAUUUGAUGGCUGUAGCCUAUAAUUAGUGAGAUUAGUAAGCAAGACAACUGUGAUUUAUUUUACCAGAAACGCUGAGAGUUUGAAAACAUCUGGCCUGGAUGAGUGCAGUGGCAAAGUUCAAAGCACACCUGAAUUUGUUUUGCUACAUUAUUCUCUUCAGAGAGACGUGAGAUAUUACAGUCUCUGCAGAAGGACGAGUCCACAGUGUCAAAGUCAAAUAAUAUUUGUUUUAUGGCAGCAGAAUUUCAGAUCAUAUUUCUAAAGACAGUAAAUACUUAGGUGGACAUCAGUGAAUCCUAAACGCUUCUUGAUGUGAUAUAUCCAUAGGCACACCCACAAAUACACAUGGUGGCUUGCAGUGGUUGAAAAAUUACAGUCUGAGUCUAUUCAAAGAUCUGGCAAUUUCAGGUCACAGUGGGAUGGUGGAAGACUCCCUUGCCAACACUGGUGUUGCAGGGUUGUUUGUUGUUUGGCUUGUUGGUGAUGCUUAGGCAAGGAGACACUUCCUUUCAGAUUCUGUCUUCCAAACCCCAGGGCUCUGUUCUGGCCAGUUCAGCCUAAUGGAAUUAAGCCUGACACGUUUCAACUCCGUUUCUUUAUAAAAUAAACAUAAAACAAUGGUUUAGAUUUCUAAUAAAACUCUUGAAGCAGAGAGGACCCCCUUUCCCUGUCCUUUACAUGUCUGUAAAUAAAGCACAUAAAAGAAGAACACAACAGGAUAAAUCAACAUAAAUUUGAAAUCCACUGCAGCAUAUUAAAUGGCGCAGACUCCGUCAAAGGGAGGCUGACCCCAGGCUUCGUGCAGUUUGAAGCUAAUUGUUUUCGUCAGGAUGGGAACCUCUGGAAGUCCUCGGCUGUGUCCCACCAGUAAGACUCCAGUAACUGAGCUGGCCCACAGAGAAUGGCCCCACUUUGUAGCGACACAGCGGGCUCAGACACCACCUAUUCUGCACUCCAAACUGUCAUGCAUAACAACUUUAUUGUGCUAAAUUGAACUUGAAAGCACCCAAAGGCUAUGAGAAGGAGAGGCUAUGAGAAAAGCGUGCUGUCAGCGCUGGCAGAGGCUGACCAGGAAAGUGGGCUCGAGACAGGGGAAUAAAAGACCAGGCCCCAUGAACACAGCAUAUUGUUUCAUUUUAAAGUAUGACUCCCAUACCAGAGAAAGUAGCAAAUGUGAUGUAAAUUUAUUUAAAUAGAUUCGACCGCUGAAAAGUUUGCUAGCCGCUCUUAUCCAACUUUCCCAGCUCCCUGAUUCGUUACUUACAGUGGGAAUAUAAUGACACGCAGUCAUCAUUGUAACAGCUUCUUUGGAGCGCACAAUGAUGAUUAAUAGCCAGCAGCAAAUUUUCACAUGGGCUCUGAAGCACUGUGGUAUUAAGCAGCCAAACAGUCCCAAAUCCCCCUUUUCUGUCCCGCUGAAAAGUCCCUCCUUGUACCUUGCAGAUAGGAACAAAGCCUAUCUUAAUUCCAAUCAGCUUUUCCUCAUUCAAAGGGAACUUCUCUUUUUCAUAAUUGAUUCAUGUGCAUUUUUAGUGUUCCACUGAGCUGAAGCCACGUUUCCCCUUUUCUCUGUUCGGUCCCCACACUGCACCCAUCUUGAUUUUUUUUUGAAGGGGCGAGGAGUGAGAAACAUUUUAACAACAAUAAAAACUGGUGUGUGUGUGUGUGUGUGUGUGUGUGUGUGUGUUUCCUUCCGCAAAUAUUUGCUAGAUUUCUCAAUUAGUACUAGUUUGUGCUUUACAGCUAAAGGGUUUAAAGCAAAAGUUAACUCCCAUAUUUCUCUGUGGUUGGGAAUGGUUUUGGUUCUAAAGAGCGUGGACUAUACUGAAAUAGCUGUGGAGCCUGUGUCCAAGCUCAGCUCCCUGGCUCCCUGGUGGAGUCUGAGGCCCUGGUUCCCAUGAGAGACUCACAGCUGGAGCAAGGGCACAGUGUCUGGCUCCAGACAUAUUCUUUUCUCUUCUCCAUGCUGGUAGCCAUCAAAAAAGGAACAAGUGACCAGGGGAAGGCAGCAAAUUGAGCCUUCCUAACUCACUCUCCCCUUCUUAAGUAUCAUUUCACCCCAUAGUAAUCUUACAUCAGAAUUAUUAGCAGAAGCGCCUGUGCUAUUUGUAGAAGAGCUCUCUCCUCUACUGGUUCCACCUCCUGUGAUAACGACGCAAAUGACAUCAAGCAGCGCUGUCGUGGAAGGGGGUUUCCACAGGCAAAGUCAUUUGUGCUUCUGUGACAAUAUAAUAGCCAUAAAGUGCAGUGUUUCAGUAGAUAUACUUUGCAUAUUUGUUUACAUUUGAUAUUACCCAGCUCUCAGUUUUCUAUGUGAGUAAGGUGAUCAUAUACAGGACCCAGUUUGCUCAGGACAAAUCUCACUGUUGUCUAUUGUCCUUACAUAACUUUGACAAUGAGCUUUCACUCUCAAAAGAAUUUUGAUUUGAACAAUUUGAAAAAUACAUGCCUUUUUGCUAUUAAAACGUCCCUAAAUCACUUAAAUAAGCCAGGAGUGGGCUGUCUCUUACCGGCAGAGCCAUGGGGUGUUUCGUAUCAUACAUACCCCAGGUUAAAGGGAAAAAAACCAGACUCAGAAAGCCUACUUACUGCACAUGUUGCAGCACCAACUUUUGUCUUGCCCACUUUUAAGAGGUCAGUUGACCCUGUGCAGCUUCUUUGAUUUAUGGCAGAAAGGAGAUCAUUUGCUGAAAAGAAAAGACACGUUAUAAACCAGAUUGUAAGUGUGACACCCUCCGGCUGGGUCACAGUUCUCUCUGUGAACCAGAGCAACACACUUUACUGGCCAGAUAAAAAUACUCCACCGUACCUUAGAAUAGAACGGCCUUUCUUAUGUUUUGGUGUCUCAAAAUGGUUAAGUAAAGAAUAUACCCAACUGAUAGGAGGUCUUUUGUUCAUGGUUUUAGUGCUUAAAUGUUUUUUUAUUGAAAAACACAGGUCAAAAUGGCAUUGUAUUUUGUAUCUCUAUUAUAGUCUUUGUUCAAAAAUCCCAAACAGGUAAGUAUAAUGUAAUCUUUGGGUUAGAGAGCUGAAGUCUCCAAGAGUGUUACAAAUCCACACGGCAGUGUCUGUAAGGGUUGGGUUUUGGGUGCAGAUUACAGAAUUAAUGAGAGAUGUACACUUUUAGUUGGAGAGCUUCCUACUGAUGGGGCCUCCAUGAAGGUUCAUGGAUGUUAAUUCCUGAAAGCAUGUGGAACAAAUGGACUCCAACUACUCUGGCUUCAAAAUAACCAUAGCAAACCCUAAAAUUUCCUGUUUUCCAUCAAAUCAUGGCCCCUGUUCUGGUACUGAAUCAGGUACAGAAUCAGGACUCCGCCCAAAUUCUCCUUUGGAGGAACCCAGUCUAUUGGUAAAACCCGACUUCCCAAGCCAAAUCUGGGCCUAUCCAAUAUUUAUUAGCACAUUUUAUUUCCUUUUUAAGAUAAUUUUUUCAGAAGUGAAAUGAAUGAAGAAUGUGAAAGAUGUUGUCAGAUACAGUCAAUUUUUAAAAACGUUUUACCUAUUUCCUUUUGUGUGUGACAUUUUUGGAGACACUAGAACCAGUUCCACUAUUCUGUCCUCCUCUAAUGGUGAUGGCACACUGUCCUCUCCGUAGAACUAUGGAAUGAGUUACCACUGAAGCCUAACUUUUGGAAAUCACUUGGUAUUUGUCAGUCCCUUCUCUGAGAAUCUAACAGAGCUGGUUCCCCUGACAGCUCUGUCAUUUUGCAUGUGGCUGGAUCUGUUCCCAAAAGUUUUGUCUCAUCCUGCUAGCUCUUUGAAGAAGAUGCAGAUGUUUCUUAAAACAUUAAAGGAAAUUCUUGUACCUGAUGUGCUAGAACAAGUCUGAAUUCUGUUAAAUCUAAUGUGAAUAUACUAAGUAAAACUGUUUU
rnacentral:lncRNA from 1 species